rnacentral:lncRNA from 1 species
CCGGCGAUUAAGCACUUACCAUGUGCCUCUCCUGCUUCAGGGCACCACGCCAGCCUAUAAGCAGCCGCAGGGGUUGAGCCCUGCAGAGCCCCAGAGGCAGAGCUGCCCAAGGCUUUGGGAGCCCACCUCUUGCAUCACUGUGCCCUGGAUGUGAGACGUGGAAUCAAGGAGAUUAUUUUGGAGCUUUAAGACGUAAUGGCACCCUGCUGGGUUUCAGACUUGAGUGGAGCCUGCAGCCUUUCUUUCGGCCGGUUUCUCCCUUUUGGAACGGGAGUAUUUACCCAAUGCCUGUACCCCCAUGGUGGCAGCUGAGGCUUACUACCCCAGGAAAGGGAUGCCACCAGAGAAGGCAGACAACCAAGAUGGCGACUCUCAAUUUUUGAGCUCCUAAUUUUCUCAUGUCAGACAUAAGAAAAAAAAAUAUUUUUUAAAGAAAAAGCUUUAGGUUGCAAAAAUCUAGGCCUUUCAACUUUAAAAUCCUAUUCUUGCAAGCCUUGGAGAAUAAAGCUUAUGCAUAAACAGUAGAUUUGGAAACAGAAAUAUGCCUAAUUACCCAGAGCCAUUCUUUCAAUACGCCAGUGAUUGUUUAAAGAUUCUAUAGGCUGGAGUCAAUGGCAGGAGGCGGGUGGGAAAAGAGUCAAGAGGGAGGAGAGAAGAAGCAAGAGGGUUGGGUAGAUAUUGUCACAUGACCCUGAGAGGAGGAUUCUGGGUCAAACCCCUAGGGGGUUGUGUGUAAUGGAGACUCCAGAUCCAUUUGGGAAUCUGGCUCCAAAGAAGACUUCACCUUGCCUUCUGAGUGGAGCCCUGAAGUGGCAAGACUCAUAGAAUUCCCCCACGGGUCCACACAAGAGAGAAUGAAUAGAGAAGGCUGCGUGCUGGCUGGACCAAGGCAGCCUCGGGUGACACCACCACCACCACCGCCGCUGCCGCCAUCGCCAUCACCACUGCCGCUGCCAUCACCGCCACCACCACCACCAUCACCACCACCAUCACCACAUUAUGGACAAUAGCCCAAUGUUUCCUGAGUUCCCUAGAGGGUUGAAAGAGAAUAGGACCUAGAGAGAUCACAUAGUUGGGACAGGCACUCAUUAAUUUGAUCCAAUGACAAGAGACCAGAUGGGAAGAAGGAUGCCUUGAGAGAUGUCAGUGUGCACCCAUGGAUAGAAGCAGCUGGUGACUGGGUACUUGGGAAGCCACAUGGACACACACAAAGCUCCUGGAAGACGUUUUCAAGGAGUUGGGCUGUGCUGGGAUCCAGAACUGGCUGAAGAAACCAUGAGCUGACAUAAAAUUUCUGCCACCUAGCAGAAUGGAGGCUCCAUUUGGAAAUUAAAUUAUAUACUUAAAAAAACUAUAAUUGCUUCAUUUCUUUUUUUUGAGAUGGAGUUUCACUCUUGUUGCCCAGGCUGUAGUGCAAUGGCACCAUCUCAGCUCACUGCAAACUCCGCUCCCGGGUUCAAGAGGUGAUCCUGCCUCAGCCUCCCGAGUAGCUAGGAUUACAGGUGUGCGGCCACCAUGCCCCGCUAAUUUUGUAUUUUCAGUAGAGACGGGGUUUUACCAUGUUGGUCAAGCUGGUCUCAAACUCCUGACCUCAAAUGAUCCACCCACUUUGGCCUCCCAAAGUGCCAGGAUUACAGGCAUGAGCCACUGCGUGAAGCCAAAUGCUUCAUUUCUUUUUUUCUUUUUUUUUGUUGAGAGGGAGUCUCACUCUGCCGCCCAGGCUGGAGUGCAGUGCCGCAAUCUCGGCUCACUGCAAGCUCCCGCGUUCACGCCAUUCUCCUGCCUCAGCCUCCCGAGUAGCUGGGACUACGGGCGCCCGCCACCACGCCUAGCUAAUUUUGUUUUGUACUUUUAGUAGAGCCGGGGUUUCACCGUGUUAGCCAGGACGGUCUCGAUCUCCUGACCUCGUGAUCCGCCCGCCUGGGCCUCCCAAAGUGCUGGGAUUACAGGCGUGAGCCACCGCGCCCGGCCUGCUUCAUUCCUUAUACAUCUGAGUUGGCCAUCUGAGAUUUUGUUUCUACUACACAGCACUACGGCAAGGAUUACGCGAAACCACCUAGUCCCUAGUAUGGUUCCUGCCAUGUAAUCAGGACACAGCAGAUCGCAGCUGGGUAUUUUCCAUUUUCCUCCGGAUCUGCUCUGCACCCUUCUCCACUGGCCCUCAGCUGUGGGAAGCUGACCUCAUGGACUGCAGGCCUAGAGGUAAGCAGCCCUGGACUGUUGCAGCUACUCAAGAAGGUGUGGCCUUUGCUUCCUGGCACUCAGAUGGCAGCUGACCUCUAGGUAUGCAUCAUUCACAUCUGAGACAGGAAAGAGAGGGAAGGACCAAGGGUGAGGGGCUAAAUGAAACAGCCAGUGAGGUCCACUCCCUUUCAAAAGCUGACCUGAAGCCUCAACCCAGGACAUCACUAGCACAUCUGGGUCACAUGGGCUUCUACGGUCUGGCCUGGGAAUCUAGACCCUCAUUAACUGCAUGGUACCCAUUGGGAAGUCUGUUCUAAUCCCACACUCAGAUCCAGUUGACAUUUUUGACAUGGACCAGACAUCAGAUUUGACACGUUUGAUUAUAGUUGAUACAGGGAAAUGCCUGUAUCAACUAUAAUCAGAUUUAUCAAGUCCAGCCGUGAGGCUGGACUUUGGAACCUGGGUGGGGUCUGGAGAGGGAGAGAAGGAAGGAGAGAAAUGUAGGUGGAGCAACAGUGUAACAAGGCUGGGGAAAGUUCUGAGACUGAUGGCUACUUUCUGAGGUGGUCCCCUACAGUUUCAAAGCUUCCCGGAGCUCCACCUCUGCUGAGAAACCCCUCACCGAGCUUCCCUUUCUGUCUGGUUCUGUUGAACGCAAACGACAUCUGCUUCCCACUCCCUGAAACUUCUCUUCAGGGUUCCCGUCAUUGGCUCAAGCUAUGGGAGAGGGCGUGUGAGACCCAGGCCUUCCGGAGGCUUCCAGAGUUAAAGCACUCCCACGGACAGGAGACAGAACUGCCUGUGGAGAAUUGCAUUAUAGCCAAGCGCCGGGAUAUAUAUUUAUCUGUGCCUGACAUUCUCAUCUCUUUUUAAAGGAAAAGCCACACAUUUGGCCAAAAGAUGAAGUGGAAAAAAUGUACUGUUGAACAAAUAUCCAGGAUGGUUGCUCAGAAUGUAUAAAAUGAUGAACUGUGUGGAAAAAUCAUGCCUGUGGCAAAUUGUCAGCAGGCUAUAUUUGGGGGUCCGAAUGCAGGGCCCCUGCCAACUGAGUUCACAGAGCCUUAGUGUUUUUCCACUUCUAUUUAUAGCGAUGCACACAUUCACACACAAAAAAUGCAGGGGACAUUGGACUUCGUUUUUAAAUGAUGAAAAUGUUCGAAAUGUAUCUGGUUUCAGCACGUGAGAGCCGCUCUGCUGUCUACGAUCAGCCUUGCUUACUGAAGAAGGGAUUAAUCAACGUGGGGAAAACAACGUAAUAGGAUCCUUUGGGAAUCUGAAAGUCUGAAAACAACUUUUUUCUCUAUUUCCUUUUUAAAAUGUAAUUCACUUCAACAAAACUUUAUUGAGCACCAACGAUGCAAAAUGUUGAAAUGGACAUCUGAUUGUUGUCUCUCAGCCUCCAUUCCUCCUGCCCCUUUUCCAGCAGCCAUUGCUUCUAGUUGGAGAACCACGUGUUUCCAGUGAGGGAGAUUCUUCUUUCCAGCUUCAGAUGUUGAACACAAGACCUGGCUUGGCCAAUCAGGGCAAGCCAUCCCCCUGGGCACAGUGAUUGGCUCAGGCCCACCCCGAGCUGGACCAAUCAGAGUGAAGAGUGAGACUUUGGCCAGGAAUGCUGAAACAAAGACUGAGCCUUAGUGUUGGAUUUGAAGGAAGAAGCCCCAGGAGCUGCUGAGAGCUGUUUUAUAACCAUGAGCCAUGUAAAAUGUGCCUCCUUCGUCUUCUCAUUCUGCCAUGAUUGUAAGUUUCCUGAGGUCUCCCCAGCCACGCUUCCUGAACAGCCUGCGGAACGGCAGGAAUGAAAGAUUCUCCCCAGUGCCUGAAAGCUUGAAGGGAUGAAUAACUCCUCCCUUCUCAGGCCCAGUCCCAAGGCACAAGACCACUUGUGCCAGCAGCCAGCAGCGUGCAUCAGCAAGACAGCAGAAGCAGGAAGACAGCCUGCUGGAAGACACUUACCCUGGCCGGAAGACAUGUACCCCUGAAGAUGGAGAAAGAGGCCUUCCGGGUACUACGUAGCAGUCACGUCAGACCGGGACACUUCCUGUUUAGAGAGGACUAUAAAACUCCGGUCCGGUAAUCACUUGGGGCUGACGCCAUUUUAGGCCUCAUCCCGCCUGCACCCAGGCACUCAUUAAAACAGCGUGUUGCCCCACACUGCCUCGUGUUGUCUGUUGGUGCGCUCUCGGGGUUCAAACCGAUACAAGAACCUUUCAAAUGGUAGUAAGAUUAAAGGUUUUUACUAAGUUAUUAAUAACAAAAAAGGCACAGAUCUUAAAUGUGCAGUUAUGAAUUUUGGCAAUUGUAUACAUUCAUGUAAUCACUACCCACAACAAAAAUAGAAUGUUUCCACCACCACAAAAAGUUUGCAACACCCCUGUACCUCUUUCUAGUGCAUUUCCAAUCAUGUCCUCAUACCUACCUACCCCACAACCAUUUUUUAAUCUCUUCCAGAGCUAACGCUUAAUACAUUGAAUUUUACAUAAUCUUAGGAUAGACUGUCCCACAUAAAGGAGACUAUCUGCAAUAAUUUAUGUUGGAAGAAUAAGAUAUUGAUGUCAAUUAAUACAUUUUGUGUCCUGGUUUAAAAAUGCUCCUACUAUUAAUUAAAAUUUUAAAGACAUUUUCUUGUGAAAGUAUAAAGGGAUACUUUUUUCUAUUUUGAACAUUAUGAGUUCAAAAGUUCAUUCUGAUAGAAAAUUUUAUUUUGUGUGUUUCAACUAUGUAUGGAUGGAAAUAAAACUAGGAAGAAAUAUAGAUAAUUCUUUAUACUUCUUUGCAUUUUCCAAAUUUUAUGCUAC